GAUUUGCGUUGAAGUAAGAUGUGGCUACCCAUCGAGGUAGGGAACUCUUAUGGAGCAUGUCUGGUUUAAAAUCAGGCGGCAA
rfam:Clostridium sp. CAG:465 genomic scaffold, scf70